rnacentral:rRNA from 1 species
UACGUAGGGCGCAAGCGUUAUCCGGAAUUAUUGGGCGUAAAGAGCUCGUAGGCGGUUUGUCGCGUCUGCCGUGAAAGUCCGGGGCUCAACUCCGGAUCUGCGGUGGGUACGGGCAGACUAGAGUGAUGUAGGGGAGACUGGAAUUCCUGGUGUAGCGGUGAAAUGCGCAGAUAUCAGGAGGAACACCGAUGGCGAAGGCAGGUCUCGUGGCAGUUAACUGACGCUGAGGACGAAG